UUGUCACUGAAUCUCCCCUUGUUCCCCCAGCAGAGUCAUUUCCGGCAGCUCUGUUCUUUUGGGGCUGGGAGGUGCUUUUCUGACUCUCUCUCCCUCAGCAAACAGGAGGGUCGGUCUCAGCAUGCACCACGGGUAUCUCGUCCUCACUGCCUUCCUGGGGCAACUGCUGGAAACCAUGGGACAGGUGUCUGUCACCCAGCAAGAAGGACAAGUCACUGUGGAGCAGGGAAACACCUUCCAGACCAAUUGCACAUACAAGAUCUCUGACUUUGGAGGCUUGCUCUGGUACCAGCAGAAGAAGGGACAAGCCCCUCAGCUGAUUUCCUAUCAAGCAGGAAAGGGCACCAAGCAGAAGGACCGUUUCACCACGGAGCUGAACACUGACGGGAAACACAGUGUUCUGCGGCUGAAGGAAGUUGAGCUUUCUGACAGCGCCUUGUACCUCUGUGCUGUGAGUGACACCCCGGUGCAGGGAGCUGCCCUGGCUGAGCAACAACCCCGGAUGGGGAGGGGAUGUGUCUGUGCAAGGCAGAGCUCUGGGAUGGGGCCCUCAGCUCUCUCCUGGCUGCGCUGCUUCCCCUGUGCACUCCAAGAUCUGACAGCCAGAUCCCCUUUCUCAAACGGGCUGGUGUCUGUGGCUGUGCAGAGAGGGCUGACCCCAACUGGCUGACCUGGACCGCAGGGCUCUACUUUCCUCUCUUCCCGGUCUGCCAGAAUAGGGCAGAGCCUGCUGGGAAAUAAGACUCCCU